CCCUCUCCCCCCGCUUGCAGCCACGUCUCCUGAUUAGACUGUCCCGGGCGCGAACCAGCGCAGAACCCUCUCUCCCGGGACAGGGGAUCCCGCUCCCUCCGCGCUGCGCCUGGCUGGGUGCUCUUAAAGCGCCAAACUCCGGCUCUGUUCUCGCCCUUGCGUGGCCAAGCCCCAUCCAUCCCCGACUCCUGAGCAGCAGAACCAGCCCUUGAGAGCUGCGACCCGGCGGGUCCGUCAGCCCCCGCUCCUUUAGACAGCUGGGCGAGCAAGCAGACAAACAGCCCGCCCCCAGCCACAAGAAAAGGAAACCCACACAACUGGAAUCCCCCCUUGAACGGGUCUUGAGCGUUGCGCCGGGAGCCUGGCGCAGCCCGCAUCCUUGCACUAGAGCGUCAACGUGACGCGUGCACUAGUGAGCACCCGCGUGGGAGGCGGCGGUGGAACCGUGUGUUCGUGAAAAGCGGCAGCAACAUCAAAAUCGUCUCGCGUUAUCCAAUCGUUAAGCAACGCUUUCUGGAAACUACCCUGGAAAGGAACUAUUUGAAAUGAACUCAGACACCGCCCCCCAAAAGUUCUUUUGUUAGUAAAGUGGCAACGCGCAGAUUUUCAUUUAAAAGGCUCUCCAACUUUUGACAUGGGCCGUGCUCCGUUUCCACAGAAAAUCAGCCGAGGAUUCAAGUUCCCUGAACCACUUGUAAAGUGAAAUGCCGGAGUGGGAGACCGGGACGCAGGUCUAAACGGAAGAAAACGUGGCAAUCGGUCAGGCAGGUUUUGCUGGACGGUGAGCGGGCGAAAUAACUAGGGGAGGACCCGGGUGUUGGAGCGUAAAGAGAUUUACGGAGCCUUCCAUGUCCAGAUGACAUCUCGAAGCAAAGCAUCCCAGGAAAACCUUCCAUCCCGGGCAUCCGCCUGUGACCCCAAACACCGAUUUACAUUACCCCUGAACACACGUGCAGGGCAACCCAGCUGGCUUUCUCCACGUUCGCUUUUAUGUCUUUAAUUUUUGCCUACGAUGAUAGUUUCCCUGCAUGAGACCGCGAUGUGUGUUUUCCUAACUGGAAACCUCAUCAGAACUGGGCAGGAAAAGCGAACGGUUUUUUUUUGGGGGGUCAGUAUCUUCCAAGGAAGAUCCAACUGGCAAAUCAAUUUCCAGCCCUUGUUUCUGAAGGGAUUCACCUCCCACCCUCUUGCUUUAUUGGGCUACGGAGCCGGGAAUGAGCCGUAACCUACAUGGUAGGGCUGACUCUGUGGUCCCUGGAUUGAUUCCCCGUGGGGAGAGGCGGUGGGUCUCUGCGCUCGCUCGGGUAAGGCGUGGAACCGGCUGGCGCGGACGCCUCGAUCGAUGCAUUGUUGAGUACACGCGUCCCUCGGAAGUUUUGCAGACUCGCAGAAGGUGGGUGAGCUCGAGGAGUCCUUGAAAGCUCAGUCACCCCUGUGUGGCCCCAGGGCUUUGAAGAGCGCCCCAUCGAUUUGCCUUCCUGCCUGUUGCAUUUCCCCCUUUCGUUAGAGCUAGCCUGCCAGCAAUGCGGCAAGGCACAGAGUUAACACGAGGACAUAAAAAUGGCCAGACUGGGUCAGACCAAAGGUCCUUCUAGCCCAGUGUCCUGUCUGCCCACAG